CCCCUCUCAGAUUCACACCUGGAGAGUGCCCAGUACUCAGUCAGGCUUGUACACAGGAGGGAGAGUCAAGCAGAGGCAUAACCAUUCCAUUCCUAGCUUGGGCAGUGGCUAGCGAGUGAAAGGCCGUCUGCUACAAGU